GCCCUUCCAAACUGGAGGGCAGGGAACACAUGUCCAUGGCUGCCUGACAGAGACCUUCAAUGCAAAGCUUGUGAUCCUGUCAUGGAUUGUAUCAGCCAAGGAGACUGGAUUAACUCACAUACCUAGGCAUUUAUGGCUCUGAAGUGAGCCAGUGUUCAAAAAGCGUCCUGAGGACAGAUGGAGUUGCUUGACCCACAGGUGGAUGAGCUUCGCUGGAGCAGGAAGGCCCUGGUCCUGGCUGAAAGAACACCUAAGACCAAGGAGAGAAUGCAAAAUGAUGAAGCAGGAGCCUGCACCACAACCAGCAGCCAAUCAGAGAGGAAAAGGAACCAAAUGCUGGGCAAUCAAAUGCAAGAAAAAAAGCAGUGAGAUUUUUCAUUGAAAUAAAAAUGCAAAAAAAAAAACAAAAA
rnacentral:lncRNA from 10 species